GUGGACGCCAGUCUGCGUGGAGCCGACCUUGAAAUACCACCCUUUAAUGUUUGAUGUUCUAACGUGGACCCGUGAUCCGGGUUGCGGACAGUGUCUGGUGGGUAGUUUGACUGGGGCGGUCUCCUCCUAAAGAGUAACGGAGGAGCACGAAGGUUGGCUAAUCCUGGUCGGACAUCAGGAGGUUAGUGCAAUGGCAUAAGCCAGCUUGACUGCGAGCGUGACGGCGCGAGCAGGUGCGAAAGCAGGUCAUAGUGAUCCGGUGGUUCUGAAUGGAAGGGCCAUCGCUCAACGGAUAAAAGGUACUCCGGGGAUAACAGGCUGAUACCGCCCAAGAGUUCAUAUCGACGGCGGUGUUUGGCACCUCGAUGUCGGCUCAUCACAUCCUGGGGCUGAAGUAGGUCCCAAGGGUAUGGCUGUUCGCCAUUUAAAGUGGUACGCGAGCUGGGUUUAGAACGUCGUGAGACAGUUCGGUCCCUAUCUGCCGUGGGCGCUGGAGAACUGAGGGGGGCUGCUCCUAGUACGAGAGGACCGGAGUGGACGCAUCACUGGUGUUCGGGUUGUCAUGCCAAUGGCACUGCCCGGUAGCUAAAUGCGGAAGAGAUAAGUGCUGAAAGCAUCUAAGCACGAAACUUGCCCCGAGA
rnacentral:rRNA from 1 species